rnacentral:rRNA from 1 species
AGAGUUUGAUCCUGGCUCAGGAUGAACGCUGGCGGUAUGCUUAACACAUGCAAGUCGAACGGACUCUUCGGAGUUAGUGGCGGACGGGUGAGUAACGCGUGAGAAUCUGGCUUCAGGUUCGGGACAACAGUUGGAAACGGCUGCUAAUACCGGAUGUGCCUUAUGGUGAAAGAUUUAUCACCUGAAGAUGAGCUCGCGUCUGAUUAGCUAGUAGGUGUGGUAAGAGCGCACCUAGGCGACGAUCAGUAGCUGGUCUGAGAGGAUGAUCAGCCACACUGGGACUGAGACACGGCCCAGACUCCUACGGGAGGCAGCAGUGGGGAAUUUUCCGCAAUGGGCGAAAGCCUGACGGAGCAAUACCGCGUGAGGGAGGAAGGCUCUUGGGUUGUAAACCUCUUUUCUCAGGGAAGAAUGAUGACGGUACCUGAGGAAUAAGCAUCGGCUAACUCCGUGCCAGCAGCCGCGGUAAUACGGAGGAUGCAAGCGUUAUCCGGAAUGAUUGGGCGUAAAGCGUCCGCAGGUGGCAAUGUAAGUCUGCUGUCAAAGCGUCUGGCUCAACCAGAUAAAGGCAGUGGAAACUACAUAGCUAGAGUAAGGUAGGGGUAGAGGGAAUUCCUGGUGUAGCGGUGAAAUGCGUAGAGAUCAGGAAGAACACCGGUGGCGAAAGCGCUCUGCUGGACCUUAACUGACACUGAGGGACGAAAGCUAGGGGAGCGAAUGGGAUUAGAUACCCCAGUAGUCCUAGCCGUAAACGAUGGAUACUAGGCGUUGCCCGUAUCGACCCGGGCAGUGUCGUAGCUAACGCGUUAAGUAUCCCGCCUGGGGAGUACGCAGGCAACUGUGAAACUCAAAGGAAUUGACGGGGGCCCGCACAAGCGGUGGAGUAUGUGGUUUAAUUCGAUGCAACGCGAAGAACCUUACCAGGGCUUGACAUGUCCGGAAUCCUCUUGAAAGGGAGGAGUGCCUUCGGGAGCCGGAACACAGGUGGUGCAUGGCUGUCGUCAGCUCGUGUCGUGAGAUGUUGGGUUAAGUCCCGCAACGAGCGCAACCCUCGUUCUUAGUUGCCAUCAUUAAGUUGGGAACUCUAAGGAGACUGCCGGUGACAAACCGGAGGAAGGUGGGGAUGACGUCAAGUCAGCAUGCCCCUUACGCCCUGGGCUACACACGUACUACAAUGCUAUGGACAAAGGGCAGCAAGCCAGCGAUGGCAAGCAAAUCUCGUAAACCAUGGCUCAGUUCAGAUCGCAGGCUGCAACUCGCCUGCGUGAAGUCGGAAUCGCUAGUAAUUGCAGGUCAGCAUACUGCAGUGAAUUCGUUCCCGGGCCUUGUACACACCGCCCGUCACACCAUGGAAGCUGGUCACGCCCGAAGUCGUUACCCUAACCUUUCGAGGAGGGGGACGCCGAANGUAGGACUGGUGACUGGGGUGAAGUCGUAACAAGGUAGCCGUACCGGAAGGUGUGGCUGGAUCA